AAGCAGUUUCCAUGGUUUUUGCAACUUCUGUUGUAGCAACGAACUCCGUAUGAAAUGGGAGGCCUCGGAAACGCGUGGUCCUCUGGUGCGUUGCAGCUGGGGAUGAGGCGCGUGCGGAGCUAAGAUAACACGGCGAGCUUGGGAAGGGCUGGUCACGAGGCUGGUGGUGAUCGUUGUUAAUAAGGGCCUGACUGCAUGAUCCCUGCUGGAGGCGAACAUGCGUCACUCAGAGGAGAACAUGCUUGGCAUGGGGGAUGCAUCCUGAUCUUGGGGUCAGCUGAAGCCAGUCGAGCUCCGCAGAUCUGCAUCAGCUGGAGCGCUGGCCCGAGGCAGACGCUCCGAGGCAGCUCCAGCAGCUCCCGAGAGGCACAUCAGGGCUCAGCCUGCUCCGUUCUGCGGCGCACAAACACGUCGAGGGCAGGCGGUGUGACAAACUCAGCCUCGCGUCGCUCAAGGAGAAUUAACAUUUCCUCCCAGGACACGAGAUGAGAGACUCUCCUCCACCGCCCCAGUUCAUUAGAGGAGAACGUAACGAGAUCGUUUAUUGCCAGACUGACACACUGGCUCACCAGUGCAGAACCGCACAUAACCCUGCUGUAGCUUUCCUUUAUUUCUAGCCAUUAAAGAGACUUAAAGAGUGCUACUGGCAUUUAUAACUGCCUGGGGUAAUAACAUAACACCUAGCAGGAGAUACAAUGAUUUAUAUUUUCACGGGGUCAUGCAAAACAUCACAAAUGAAACUAAUGAAGUGCAGCUUUAAUGGAGCAUUGUGGUGAAUGGUGAAAGUCAGAGAUCCCCAGUGCUGGGCUCAGCAACCCACGCUUAGGGCUGGCUCCUAGAGCACCCAGAGGUCAGUACCGGCACCAAGCUGGCAUUUUCUUGAAGUUCAAGCACAUCCCUGUCUACCAUGCCCGGCCCUCUGGACAGGUUCCGAAAGUGAGCAGUGACUUUGGUGCCCAUUUGGGAGCUUAAGGGAAGUACUCGGGAGGAGGUCAGAGACCCUGGCCCACUAAACUAGUGUGGGUUGAGAGCAGCCCCUAAAUCCCACCGUUUUUCUCCAAACUGCGCUUCUUGGCCAUGUGUGUCUUGGGAAUCUCCCAGCCUGGGGUGGGGAAGCAAACCUUAGGUUAAAGGUGUUUUGGUGUGGGCCAAGCCAAAUGGCUGAAUGUAAUAAUAUAGAAAAUGUAGGUGCAGUUUUCAUCUUCUCUCCUUUCUCCUCUUAAGCAUGUUUUCAAAUUAACUCAGCUGAGUAUGGGACUUAUUUGCCCUGAGUUAAAAAAAAGACAGACAACUUUUUCUUUAGAAGUGUUGAAAUAGGACUUUCCAGCUAGUCCAGAACUCUUUGAGACAUUUAGAGUGUGCAGUUUGCCAGAACUAUGGGCAGCUUGGGGUUUAGGGAAUGGAAUUUCUCAGGAAAAGGGAAAAAAAAAACAAAUCAAACAUUGCAUCAAAAUCCUGUUGACAAGCUCUGCCACGGCUCAACUCUGCC
rnacentral:lncRNA from 1 species